CAUCCGUUCUAUGGUUGUAGAAUAAACCAAAACAUUUCAAGUCCUCUCUCUCAGUCUGUCUGAGAUCAUAUUCGCUCAACCUCCUCAUCGUUCCCCACCUAACUCGACCAUCACGUACUCGUCACACCCAAAGGGAUACGAGAAGUACUCCUCGUCCGACCACCAGCACCAGCACCAUCACCACCAAGAUGCUCCGCCGACAGGUAUCCCUGUCCGCUCCAGCACUGAACCAUAUUUUACUACUUCUAACGAAGACAUGAGCUCCCACACAGUGGCCACUCCCACAUGACCCACCCCCCUCCCUAUCCCCGCCCUCGUGCUCUCGUCCCUUGAUCCACCGGCCUCUGCAACUGCUUCUCCGAUCUCAAAAACUGUUUCACUGAGGAUGUCGUUCAUGGUUGGAUACGGUGCACGCUACCCACAGAUGAUACACCACCGGAGCAGCUCAUCACCGUCGGUGCAUGCCCACCCGGCCCGCAUCGGGUGCAAAGCCGGGUCUAGAUGAUACUUCUUAAGUCCAAAGCCCAACCCCAAUUUGCUGGUGGGAGCCAUCGUUGGUGAGCCCAACAGCUCAGCCUCGUUCCCAGACUCGAGGCCUUUCUUCCUCCAAGAAUCCAAGCCCACCACUUACAUCAAUUGGCCGUUGGUGGGCCUACUUUCAUAUUUUUCAGCCCACUAUUGAUUUCAACACCCAAAUGUCAAUUGUGAGGAGUGUAGUGGUGCUCUAAUCUAGGUCACCCAUGUACCCUGCCCCAAUUAUUCUGAAAUAAUUAUAAUUGUAUCCAAAUCCCAAAUUGAUGAA